UACAGAGGGUGCAAGCGUUAAUCGGAAUUACUGGGCGUAAAGGGCGCGUAGGCGGCCUGCUAAGUCGAACGUGAAAUCCCCGGGCUCAACCCGGGAACUGCGUCCGAUACUGGUUGGCUUGAAUCCGGGAGAGGGAUGCGGAAUUCCAGGUGUAGCGGUGAAAUGCGUAGAUAUCUGGAGGAACACCGGUGGCGAAGGCGGCAUCCUGGACCGGCAUUGACGCUGAGGCGCGAAAGCCAGGGGAGCAAACGGG
rnacentral:rRNA from 1 species